rnacentral:rRNA from 1 species
AGUGAACGCUGGCGGUAGGCCUAACACAUGCAAGUCGAACGGCAGCACAGUACGUGCUCGCUCAUACGGGUGGGGAGUGGUGGACGGGUGCGGAAUACAUCGGAAUUAGCUUUUUCGAGGGGCAUGAAGUAGGGAAAAUUACGCCAAUACCGCAUACGAACUACGGGUGAAAGCAGGGGAUCUUCGGACCUUGCGCGAUUGUAUGUGCCGAGGUCGGAUUAGCUAGUUGGCGGGGUAAAGGCCCACCAAGGCGACGAUCCGUAGCUGGUCUGAGAGGAUGAUCAGCCACACUGGAACUGAGACACGGUCCAGACUCCUACGGGAGGCAGCAGUGGGGAAUAUUGGACAAUGGGCGCAAGCCUGAUCCAGCCAUACCGCGUGGGUGAAGAAGGCCUUCGGGUUGUAAAGCCCUUUUGUUGGGAAGGAAGGGCAGCAUGUUAAUACCCCGCUGUUCUGACGGUACCCAAAGAAUAAGCACCGGCUAACUUCGUG